rnacentral:rRNA from 1 species
UCAGUUCGGAUCGGAGUCUGCAACCCGACUCCGUGAAGCUGGAUUCGCUAGUAAUCGCGCAUCAGCCAUGGCGCGGUGAAUACGUUCCCGGGCCUUGUACACACCGCCCGUCAAGCCAUGGGAGCCGGGGGUGCUUGAAGUGCGUCGCCGCAAGGCGCGCCCUAGAGCAAAACCGGUGACUAGGGGCUAAGUCGUAACAAGGUACC